rnacentral:rRNA from 1 species
UACGUAGGGGGCUAGCGUUGUUCGGAAUCACUGGGCGUAAAGCGCACGUAGGCGGACUUUCAAGUCAGGGGUGAAAUCCCGGAGCUCAACUUCGGAAUUGCCUUUGAUACUGCAAAUCUCGAGUCCGGAAGAGGUGAGUGGAAUUCCUAGUGUAGAGGUGAAAUUCGUAGAUAUUAGGAAGAACACCAGUGGCGAAGGCGGCUCACUGGUCCGGUACUGACGCUGAGGUGCGAAAGCGUGGGGAGCAAACAGG